UAAGGGCGUGCGUGUGGAUGCCUUGGCUCAAGCAGGCGAUGAAGGACGUGGCCAACUGCGAUAAGCCUCGGGGAGAAGUAAGCAUUCUAUGAUCCGGGGAUUUCCGAAUGGGGGAACCCAACCAGUGCGAACACUGGUUAUUGUGCAGUGAAUACAUAGCUGCAUAAAGCGAACGUGGGGAAGUGAACCAUCUUAGUACCCAUAGGAAGAUAAAACAACAGUGAUUCCGCUAGUAGCGGCGAGCGAACGCGGAGGAGUCUAAACCGGUCAAUCUUCGGAGAGACCGGGGUUGCAGGGCCUCAAUAUCAAGAAUCUGGUUGCGGUGGGCGAAAGCCUGUCGUGAGCAGUUUCUUGGUAAAUGAAUGAUAAGAAAGUAAUAACUGAACGGUCUUGAAAGGCCGGCCAUAGAGGGUGACAGCCCCGUAUGUAAAAUUGCAAUCUUCGUUCUAGAGGUUCCUAAGUAGCGCGAGGCACGAGAAACCUUGCGUGAAUCCGCCGGGACCAUCCGGCAAGACUAAAUACUCGCUUGAGACCGAUAGUGAACCAGUACCGUGAGGGAAAGGCGAAAAGAACCCCUGCGAGGGGAGUGAAAUAGUACCUGAAACCGCAUGCCUACAAGCAGUUGGAGGACAUUAAAGUCUGACAUCGUGCCUAUUGAAUAAUGAGCUGGCUAGUUAGUCUCAGUGGCAAGGUUAAGCGUAAGCGAGCCGAAGCGAAAGCGAGUCUGAAUAGGGCGCAGAGUCGCUGGGAUUAGACGCGAAGCGGGAUGAUCUACCCUUGGCCAGGAUGAAGGCCGUGUAACAACGGCUGGAGGUCCGAACCAGUGUUGGUUGAAAACAGCUUGGAUGAGCUGAGGGUAGGGGUGAAAGGCUAAUCAAAUUCCGUGAUAGCUCGUUCUCUCCGAAAUAGCUUUAGGGCUAGCCUCGAUUGUACCGUCACGGCGGUAGAGAUAUGGAUGGACUAGGGGCCUUUCCAGGUUACCGAAUCCAAUCAAACUUCGAAUUCCGUGAAUGAAUUCAUCGGGAGUCAGACGGCGCGGGCUAAGCUGCGUCGUCAAAAGGGGAAGAGCCCAGACCAUCGACUAAGGCCCCCAAAUUCCAGCUAAGUGGGAAAGGAAGUCGGGUUGCAGUGACAGCCAGGAGGUUGGCUUAGAAGCAGCCAUCCUUUAAAGAAAGCGUAAUAGCUCACUGGUCGAGCGACCCGGUGCCGACAAUCCAACGGGGCUAAAGCUGGAUGCCGAAGUCAUGGGUGCACAGUAAUGUGCGCGGUAGGAGAGCGUUCUUAGCGCAGCGAAGGUGGACCGUGAGGACCGCUGGAGUGCUAGGAAGUGACUCUGCCAGCAUAAGUAGCGAAAAACAAGGUGAGAACCCUUGUCGCCGUAAGUCUAAGGUUUCCUGAGAAAGGUUAAUCCGCUCAGGGUUAGUCGGAGCCUAAGGUGAGGCCGAAAGGCGUAGCUGAUGGACAACUGGUUAAUAUUCCAGUACUUCUUUUAGUUUCGAUGCGGGGACGCUGGAUGAAGCUCUGUGAGGCAAUGGUUUCCAAAACAGGGUGGAUUCAGAGGGGGAUAGGCAAAUCCGCCCCUUCGUCAGCCGGGAAAAUCCGCUAAGGCUAGGCUAAAAGAAUCCGUACCACAAACCGACACAGGUGGACGUGUUGAAUAUACUCAGGCGCUCGGGUGAUGGAUUGUUCAGGAACUAGGCAAAUUAACCCCGUAACUUCGGGAGAAGGGGUGCCCACAGCAAUGUGGGCCGCAGUGAAACGCGUCAGGCGACUGUUUAACAAAAACACAGGUCUCUGCAAAGUCUAAAACGACGUAUAGGGGCUGACGCCUGCCCGGUGCUGGAAGGUUAAAAGGAGCGGUUAGCGCAAGCGAAGCUGUGAAUUGAAGCCCCAGUGAACGGCGGCCGUAACUAUAACGGUCCUAAGGUAGCGAAAUUCCUUGUCGGGUAAGUUCCGACCUGCACGAAUGGCGUAACGAUCUGACGACUGUCGUAACAAUCCGCCCGGCGAACUUGUGGUUCCGGUGAAGACGCCGGAUGCCCGCCACUAGACGGAAAGACCCCGUGCACCUUUACUAUAACCUAACAAUGAUUUAUGGCACAUGCUGCGCAGGAUAGGUGGGAGGCUUUGAACUCGGAUUCUUGGAUUCGAGGGAGCCAAUGGUGAGAUACCACCCUGCAUCUGCUGUGAAUCUAACCUACUACCCUCAUCGGGUUGAGGGACAUUGUUAGGCGGGUAGUUUGACUGGGGCGGUCGCCUCCUAAAUUGUAACGGAGGCGUUCGAAGCUUAGUUCAGGUGGUUUGGAAAUCCACCGACGAGUGCAUUGGCAUAAACUAGGUUGACUGCGAGACAUACAAGUCAAGCAGGAGCGAAAGCUGGACAAAGUGAUCCGGUGGUUCUGCAUGGAAGGGCCAUCGCUCAACGGAUAAAAGGUACGCCGGGGAUAACAGGCUGAUCGGAGUCAAGAGUUCACAUCGACGCUCCGGUUUGGCACCUCGAUGUCGGUUCAUCGCAUCCCGGGGGUGUAGAAGCUCCCAAGGGUUAGGCUGUUCGCCUAUUAAAGCGGUACGUGAACUGGGUUCAGAACGUCGCGAGACAGUUCGGUCCCUAUCUGUGGUGGGCGUAGGAAAUUUGAGGGGGCUUGUCCCUAGUACGAGAGGACCGGGAUGAACUAACCUCUUGUGAUACGGUUGUUCCGCCAGGAGCAUAGCCGUGUAGCGAAGUUAGGUCAGGAUAAGCGCUGAAUGCAUAUAAGCGCGAAACCUUCCCCAAGAUGAGAUUUCCCUGAAGGGCCCAAGAAGACGACUUGGUUGAUAGGACGGAUGUGGAAGCGUAGUAAUACGUUGAGCUAACCGUUACUAAUAGCCCGUUCGGCUUGGCC
rnacentral:rRNA from 1 species